GGUUUGUCUUCCAGGCUCAGACCAGCGGGGGCCAUUCCUGCCUUAGGGACUGAGGGAAGGCACACUGUAAUCAUGCUGCAGACUCUGGUCAAGGAGCAGGAAUAAAGUUUUCUUUACUAUUCACCAUGAGAAAUUGGUAGAACUCAAGAACAGAAGACUCACAGAUGUGUGGGCCCCUAGCACCAUAAUGGGGUCCCUAUGGAGAUUUUAUCUCUCAGAUUUGUUCACACCGAGACCUUUGCAAAUCAUCAACUGCAGUUCACAUAUUCCUAUCCUGGCUUGUUUUCCUGUGGAGAUUUCUAUUCAGAGAAUGUGUGUCUUUUUAUGCAAGACCCUCAGUUGGAUCACCAGCACUAAAAAAGCAACAUGGAACAAUUGACCUGAUAUUCUUUGAAUUCACCAACUCUUGGAGUCAUGGAAAUUAAAAUUUUGGAAAGUGGAAGGCAAAUGAAACUUCAGAAUUGGCACCCCGGACACCCCUCCAGUUGCUUUUGUACUGAAUACACAUCUAUGGAGUCUUGCCUUUAACCUGAGAUACACAUCAUGGGACUCUAAGGCAAAAGACCACUCACAUGCAGGACUGGCAAAACUCUGCCUUAGGGCAGCAUGAGUGGAUCCAUACGUAUUGAGACUUAAUAAGAAUCUGUGGAUUGAGUUAAUUAAAUAUCCAAUAGUAACAAUAAAUUAGUUCCUAAAAUAAAAGUGUAAAUAUAACUUUUGUAGUGCAAAUAUUUU